UGAAAAAAUGGUGACAGCUGUCUUGCUGAAGAGCAAGACAGAAUUAGACACAGGCUACAGACUUUUUUUUUAAGUAGUUCAAGAAGGAGGUGGUGGCAAGGCUGAAAUGUGUCCAAGAUACUACUCAUUCUGCCCCCCAGUGUUAAUCCCCUAUACAAAUUAACCUUAGUCAUUUUCCUGUUCCUUCUUUUAGACACAUACUUUGUCAAGCCGUGUUGCCUUAACACUUCCUAACUACCUGGAAUAAAUUUAGCCUGCCCAAGGAAAAAAGAGUGCAACAUGGCAACCUUGGAUGAAGGACCAAGCCUGUGUCUUGCUGACUGCAGCCUCUUGUAGGUCAUCACAGCACAUGUGUGUCCCUCUCCUGUUAUGGCUUUUGUUGAAAAUGGCUCAAGAAACCAGGUAUUGGAAAAAUUAAAGGGGAAAGGACAGCAGCACCAUUUGCAGAGCCAACCUCAGAUGAAACAAGGACAAUUCCUAUUCCUUUGUGAACAAUCAAACUGGCUUUGGAUACUGGAAUUUUACUCUAGACUUUAAUUUGAAUAUUGGACGCUCCUAAAGAUCAUUAAUCCCCACUGUUUGGUUCAGGUCUCUGCUGUGAAAUACAGAUUAAUUAUUUCUUGUGUGGAGUCUUUAUUCAGGCACUGAACAAUGAAGGAUCGUUUGUAGCUUUCUGCUUUUUUCAGUGUAUUUUCCAUGUCUUGUUCUGUAUCUUUUUGUUAUAAAGAUUCUAUCCUCACGUGUCAUGAGACAGUUUGAUUUCAGUGAACUCUAUGACUUUAUGCCAUUUCAUGUGACUUUGUACCUAGCCUAGCAUUUUUAAUGUCUGCCUGUACCUAUAGUUGCAUGCGAAGAGGUUACAAUGCUGUGAGUAUAAACCUUCCCCAGGCUGCACCACACAGAGAAGCAUGGCCAUGAGAAUGAAAGGGGCCUGUAGGGAUGAAACAACGCUGAGCUGAACCCUCACCCAAAGGCAGGAUGGGACCUUUUUGGAGUGUUGAAGACAUGCACACAAACACUUUAAUUUGUGGCUGUUCUGUAUUGUGUUUUAAGCUGAGACAACAAAAGUGCCAGUAAAUAUAUAAAAAGUUUGGAAACCUCCAACCUUCUUAAAAACAACAAAAUGCUGAAAAUCUGCAUGUAAAUGGUCGCUACCAAGAUUUCUAAAUGCAGUUUGGCUGUCUUGGGCCAUCCUGAUGGAGCAAGGAUUAACAUCCAAGUACUUAAGUGGUUUUUACUCCAAUCCUUUUGAGGGACUUUUACCACCAACCCAAUCACAUUUAUUUCACACUCAACCUUUCCAAAUAAUGUUGGAAUCAGGAAGUUAUUUAUGUGACCUGCUUAAUUGAAAGAGCAUUUGCUGUCAGUGAUCAAAUAAACUGUUAUUGAUCUUCA
rnacentral:lncRNA from 1 species